UACGUAGGGUGCAAGCGUUGUCCGGAAUUAUUGGGCGUAAAGAGCUCGUAGGCGGUCUGUCGCGUCGGAUGUGAAAAUCCAGGGCUCAACCCUGGACCUGCAUUCGAUACGGGCAGACUAGAGUUCGGCAGGGGAGACUGGAAUUCCUGGUGUAGCGGUGAAAUGCGCAGAUAUCAGGAGGAACACCGGUGGCGAAGGCAGCACUCUGGGACGUGACUGACGCUGAGACGCGAAAGCGUGGGGAGCAAACAGG
rnacentral:rRNA from 1 species